CAGUCGCCGCGGUAAAACGAAGGGUGCAAGCGUUAAUCGGAAUUACUGGGCGUAAAGCGUGCGUAGGCGGUUUGUUAAGUCUGCUGUGAAAUCCCCGGGCUCAACCUGGGAAUGGCAGUGGAUACUGGCAAGCUAGAGUGUGUCAGAGGAUGGUGGAAUUCCCGGUGUAGCGGUGAAAUGCGUAGAGAUCGGGAGGAACAUCAGUGGCGAAGGCGGCCAUCUGGGACAACACUGACGCUGAGGCACGAAAGCGUGGGGAGCAAACAGGAUUAGAGACCCCUGUAGUCCCUGUCUCUUAUAC
rnacentral:rRNA from 1 species